rnacentral:rRNA from 1 species
AUUGAACGCUGGCGGCAGGCCUAACACAUGCAAGUCGAGCGAGCGGCGGACGGGUGAGUAAUGUCUGGGGACCUGCCCGAUAGAGGGGGAUAACUACUGGAAACGGUGGCUAAUACCGCAUACUAUCGGAUGUACCCAUAUUGGAUUAGCUAGUAGGUGGGGUAACGGCUCACCUAGGCGACGAUCUCUAGCUGGUCUGAGAGGCUGAACAGCCACACUGGAACUGAGACACGGCCCAGACUCCUACGGGAGGCAGCAGUGGGGAAUAUUGCACAAUGGGCGCAAGCCUGAUGCAGCCAUGCCGCGUGUAUGAAGAAGGCCUUAGGGUUGUAAAGUACUUUCAGCGGGGAGGCGUUACCCGCAGAAGAAGCACCGGCUAACUCCGUGCAAGCAGCCGCGGUAAUUC